AAAAGGCACGUAAAAUGUUGCAAAAAAAUGCAUUGCAAUGGUAACGUUUUACGAGCCUUAA
rfam:Drosophila persimilis strain MSH-3 cont1.007343, whole genome shotgun sequence.